AUGGAUGAACUAGUCUCACCUCCAGCUUGUAGUGCGAGGGGUGAGAUGGAGCCCAAGCUCUUCCUCAUUGUCUGCCUAGCUUUGAGACAGAGGCUUUGAGGCCAAGAGCUG
rnacentral:lncRNA from 1 species